rnacentral:rRNA from 1 species
UGAGGAAUUUUGGGCAAUGGGCGAAAGCCUGACCCAGCGACGCCGCGUGGAGGAUGAAGGCCUUCGGGUCGUAAACUCCUGUUCUGGGGGAAGAAAACGGGAUGCGUGAAUAAUUCAUCCCGCUGACGGUACCCCAGGAGAAAGCUCCGGCUAAUUACGUGCCAGCAGCCGCGGUAAUACGGAGGAUCCAAGCGUUAUCCGGAUUUAUUGGGUUUAAAGGGUGCGCAGGCGGAUCAAUAAGUCAGGGGUGAAAAAUUUCAGCUUAACUGGAAUCGUGCCUUUGAUACUGUUGGACUAGAGGAUGGUAGAGGGAGGUGGAAUUCCGGGUGUAGCGGUGGAAUGCGCAGAUAUCCGGAGGAACACCAGUGGCGAAAGCGGCCUCCUGGACCACUCCUGACACUCAGACGCGAAAGCUAGGGUAGCAAACG